CAGGAUUUCUUCAUCUGUGUGGUUUUCUGGAGAGUCCAGACUGCAGACUGCAGACUCUGAGGUUGAUCAACUGCAGUUUGUCAAAGACCAGCUGUGCUGCUCUGGUCACAGCUCUGAAUUUAAACCCAUCCCACCUGACAGAACUGGACCUGAGAUACAACAACCUUCAGUCUUCAGAUGUUCAGCAGCUCCAGGAUCUGGUGGAGAGUCCAAACUCCAAACUGCAGACUCUGAGCUUGAAAGGAGAGGGCUGGUGGGACUAAUGUUUCUCCUUUUGGAUCAGAGAGGAUCGUCAUCAUCAUCAUCAUCAUCUGGUCUGCAGAGAUGUUGUUCCUGGAGGUGGAGAGCAGAGUGAUGGAGGAAUCAGAGGAAGUGGAGAUGAGUGUCAGAGCUGCAGCAUGAACUGAUCUGAGAUCAGCUCCACUGUCUCUCUCAGCAUCAAGUGGACAGUUAUUGUGCUGCAGCUCCCCUGGUGGACUGAUGGAGAACUGCACUUCAUCUUCUCAUGCACUUCAUCUUCUCAUUCUAACUUGGAGUGUUGGAAAGUCUUCUGCUUCUCUUCUCUCUCGCAUUUGGAGCUUCUCUUAACUUUGUCCACACACUCUUGCUGUGGUUUUAUCCUCAUGUGUCCUGAAACGGUUUCUCUGAAUGAUCUGUGUUGGUGAUUCAUCAGAUUCAGACAUGAUGGUUUCCUGCAGAAGCUCAGAAGUCUUUUCUGGUGUUUCUUGGACUCCUGCACAUCUCUGCACCACAGAGUGGACCAGCAUUCUCUGAACAUCCUUCAGCUGGUCCAGAAAGCAGCAGCAUGGCUGUUGACCCAAGAAAGAAAACCUUCCACCAGUUCUGGCCUCAGGAUUCUCCAUCUGUGAGCAUUUUGGUUCUUCUUUUUCAUCUUUCAUCAGACCUUUCAGAACCACAAAGUGGACUGAGUUCCUCUGAUUAAAGGCUGCUGGGUUUUGUAUUUUGUUCAUUAUUUUACAGGAUUUUGUUCUGUUGUAACCAUGGUAACUGUGAGUACCGCACUCCUGUUUACUCUGAGUCCUGAAGCAGAAAUCCCACCAGAACUAACAAAAGUCUCUCAGUUGAAUCAUUUUUAUAUCAUCUCUGUUCUGUUGAUGAUACAAUAUUGACUCAUGGAGUUUGAAAGACUCAGAGAUUUAGUUUGAUGUUUUUUACAGUUUUAUGAUUGAACUUCCUUUUUCUUUGGUGUUUUCUGGGUAAAACUCUGUUCUUUUUCAUGCUGACAGCAUUUUUAACUGAAGUUUUUAAAGAAGUUUCAUCUAAAUCCAGUAGGAUCUCAUCAUUUUCUAGAAUGUCUGAAACUAGUAGAAACUUUCUGAGCAUAAAGGCUGUUUUCUCCAGAGGACAUGAAUGAACAGAGUGGAUGUUAGUGAGGAAUGAAAGAGAAUCACUUUGAUGCAGCUGCUGCAACAACACUAACUGCAUUGAAGCAGGAGGGAGAAGGGAGACACCUGCUGGCUGUUUUCAGAACUGCAUCUUAGUGUCUAAAGGUUCAAACUGAAAGCUGUCUGUCAAAUUCCUGCAGCCUGUUUGGAUCUAAUAAAUUCUCUUUUGAAUCAA